rnacentral:rRNA from 1 species
UUGCUCUUCAACGAGGAAUGCCUAGUAAGCGCAAGUCAUCAGCUUGCGUUGAUUACGUCCCUGCCCUUUGUACACACCGCCCGUCGCUACUACCGAUUGAAUGGCUCAGUGAGGCUUUGGGACUGGCCCAGAGAGGUCGGCAACGACCACUCAGGGCCGGAAACUUAUCCAAACUCGGUCAUUUAGAGGAAGUAAAAGUCGUAACAAGGUCUCCGUUGGUGAACCAGCGGAGGGAUCAUUACAGAGUUAUCCAACUCCCAAACCCAUGUGAACUUAUCUCUUUGUUGCCUCGGCGCAAGCUACCCGGGACCUCGCGCCCCGGGCGGCCCGCCGGCGGACAAACCAAAACUCUUGUUAUCUUAGUUGAUUAUCUGAGUGUCUUAUUUAAUAAGUCAAAACUUUCAACAACGGAUCUCUUGGUUCUGGCAUCGAUGAAGAACGCAGCGAAAUGCGAUAAGUAAUGUGAAUUGCAGAAUUCAGUGAAUCAUCGAAUCUUUGAACGCACAUUGCGCCCAUUAGUAUUCUAGUGGGCAUGCCUGUUCGAGCGUCAUUUCAACCCCUAAGCACAGCUUNNNGUUGGGAACCUACGGCUUCGUAGUUCCUCAAAGACAUUGGCGGAGUGGCAGUGGUCCUCUGAGCGUAGUAAUCUUUUAUCUCGCUUCUGUUAGGUGCUGCCCCCCCGGCCGUAAAACCCCCAAUUUUUUCUGGUUGACCUCGGAUCAGGUAGGAAUACCCGCUGAACUUAAGCAUAUCAAUAAGCGGAGGA